CUCAAUAAAACUUUUCCUGGGCUGGAUAGCAAAGGACACCUUUGGUUACCUGAAUGAACAGUUUUGGCCAGAAAUGGUGAGAAGAAAAAGCAUGAAGAAGCCGCGAAGUGUGGGGGAGAAAAAGGUGGAAGCGAAGAAACAGCUCCCGGAGCAAACUGUACAAAAACCUCGCCAAGAGUGUCGGGAGGCAGGACCGUUAUUCCUGCAGAGCAGGAGAGAGACGAGAGACCCUGAAACACGCGCCACCUAUCUUUGUGGGGAGGGAUAAUUGAAGCGCCCUGAGCGUACCAGAGCCAGAAAAAAAAAUGCUGCAUGGGAGCUGCAUCUUAGGGCAUGUGUAUUAGGGUGUGUGCAUGAUGAAUUUCUGGACUGGAUCCCAAUAUUAAAAAGUAGUUUGGCAUUUUAAUAAAGGGUCUCUAAGUAAAUUAA
rnacentral:lncRNA from 1 species